rnacentral:rRNA from 1 species
GACGAACGCUGGCGGCGUGCCUAACACAUGCAAGUCGAACGGAAAGGCCCUGCUUUUGUGGGGUGCUCGAGUGGCGAACGGGUGAGUAACACGUGAGUAACCUGCCCUUGACUUUGGGAUAACUUCAGGAAACUGGGGCUAAUACCGGAUAGGAGCUCCUGCUGCAUGGUGGGGGUUGGAAAGUUUCGGCGGUUGGGGAUGGACUCGCGGCUUAUCAGCUUGUUGGUGGGGUAGUGGCUUACCAAGGCUUUGACGGGUAGCCGGCCUGAGAGGGUGACCGGCCACAUUGGGACUGAGAUACGGCCCAGACUCCUACGGGAGGCAGCAGUGGGGAAUAUUGCACAAUGGGCGGAAGCCUGAUGCAGCAACGCCGCGUGCGGGAUGACGGCCUUCGGGUUGUAAACCGCUUUCGCCUGUGACGAAGCGUGAGUGACGGUAAUGGGUAAAGAAGCACCGGCUAACUACGUGCCAGCAGCCGCGGUGAUACGUAGGGUGCGAGCGUUGUCCGGAUUUAUUGGGCGUAAAGGGCUCGUAGGUGGUUGAUCGCGUCGGAAGUGUAAUCUUGGGGCUUAACCCUGAGCGUGCUUUCGAUACGGGUUGACUUGAGGAAUUUAGGGGAGAAUGGAAUUCCUGGUGGAGCGGUGGAAUGCGCAGAUAUCAGGAGGAACACCAGUGGCGAAGGCGGUUCUCUGGGCCUUUCCUGACGCUGAGGAGCGAAAGCGUGGGGAGCGAACAGGCUUAGAUACCCUGGUAGUCCACGCUGUAAACGGUGGGUACUAGGUGUGGGGUCCAUUCCACGGGUUCCGUGCCGUAGCUAACGCUUUAAGUACCCCGCCUGGGGAGUACGGCCGCAAGGCUAAAACUCAAAGGAAUUGACGGGGCCCCGCACAAGCGGCGGAGCAUGCGGAUUAAUUCGAUGCAACGCGUAGAACCUUACCUGGGUUUGACAUGGCUCGGGAGUGCUCAGAGAUGGGUGUGCCUCUUUUGGGGUCGGUUCACAGGUGGUGCAUGGCUGUCGUCAGCUCGUGUCGUGAGAUGUUGGGUUAAGUCCCGCAACGAGCGCAACCCUUGUUCACUGUUGCCAGCACGUUAUGGUGGGGACUCAGUGGAGACCGCCGGGGUCAACUCGGAGGAAGGUGGGGAUGACGUCAAGUCAUCAUGCCCCUUAUGUCCAGGGCUUCACGCAUGCUACAAUGGCUGGUACAGAGAGUGGCGAGCCUGUGAGGGUGAGCGAAUCUCGGAAAGCCGGUCUCAGUUCGGAUUGGGGUCUGCAACUCGACCUCAUGAAGUCGGAGUCGCUAGUAAUCGCAGAUCAGCAACGCUGCGGUGAAUACGUUCCCGGG